UGAUCUGCCGGACUGACUGCUAUCGGAUUGGUACUAAGGCCAUGCGAGUCGGUGUACAAUACAGGCGAACUGCUCAGUAACACAUAGUUGACCUAACCUAUGGAUGGGGAUAACCUCGNGGAAACUGAGAAUAAUACCCAAUGGACCACAGUGCCUGGAAUGGCCUGUGGUUGAAAUGAUUUAUCGCCGUAGGAUAGGACUGCGGCCUAUCAGCUUGUUGGUGAGGUAAUGGCCCACCAAGGCUAUAACAGGUACGGGCUCUGAGAGGAGGGGCCCGGAGAUGGGUACCGAGACACGGACCCAGGCCCUAUGGGGCGCAGCAGGCGAGAAACCUAUAAAACUUUGCAAAUGUGCGAAAGCACGACAAGGUUAAUCCGAGGUGUCUCCUGCUAAAGGAGUCUUUUGUCAGUUGUAGAAUCACUGGUGCCUAAGGGGUGGGCAAGUUCUGGUGUCAGCCGACGCGGUAAAUGCCACACCUCGAGUGGUCCGGAAGCUACUCGGGCCUAACGCAU
rnacentral:rRNA from 1 species